CCAGCACUCUUCUUACCAGUGGAUUGGAUUGGUGACUGCAGCUUUGUCAGCAGCCGUGACUCCAUGUCCCAGGAUGCAGGGCAACCCAUCUGGGGAAGACCCAAGGAGGCAGAGGAUGCCCUUCUAUGCAAACUACGGUGGCAGGACCAGCCUUCCACCUCCCUGGAGGUGAUCUGUGCUCUGGAUGUGCUGACUUGGAGAAGCAGGAACCUUUUUCUACAAGAGGCAGUUACCUACAUCCUGAAUUAAGGAAUCUGUUCUGAAACACACUCACAGAUUUAAAGCAGUAUUCUUUUUUUUUUUAACCAUAGGAGGUUUCCAGGCCAGGGACUGAAUCCGAGCUAUAGGUGUGACCUACACUGAACCUAUGGCAACAUUGCAUCCCUGCACUGGGCCAGGGAUUGAACCUGCACCUCUGAAAUAACCCAAACUGCUGUAGUCAGGUUCUGAACCCACUUUGCCACAGCGGGAAUUCCUUAAAGCAGUACUCUUCAUUGUAGAGCUCUAAUGAGGUUGUCAGCAAGGGUAAAAAGGUCAUCUUAAUGAUUUAGACCGAGUGAGUGAAUGAGGGAUCUUGUCUUGAGUUUUAUCUAUUUAAUAAGAAAUCUGUUUACUAAGAAACAAGGACCUUGACAGAGAUCCAGAAAUGAUUAUAGAAUUCUCAGCUUGGGGCUGCCAGUAUCCUCAAUGAGUAGCAGCUAAUGCUCCCAAAAUGCCCGUGGCCAUAACGCCACUUUUUUUAAAGCAUGAAAACCUUUCCUUUCAGUUUGACCAAUGCCUAUUGCACGUUUUAAAAAUAUACUUUCAUAAACAUAAUUCUGGAAAAGCUAGAGUGAUGGACAUGAAGGUCUGAGUAAAAUAAAUUAGGUGUCAUAUAUUACUCUGUUAACACAGAUUAAGAAUUUUUUCUUGCACUGCAUCUUUUUGAAGGAUCACAAAUUUCUGUGCUGCUGUCACUACAGAGCCACUAUGCAAGCUUUCUGAGAAAUUAUAAAGGACACACAAAAAGCCUUUGAAGAUGAAAGAAGGGAAAUGCUGUCCCUAUCACAGGAAAUUAGAGACUGCUGGAAUUAUAAGGGUACCAGAGCAAAUGAUCAAACAAGCCAUUAUAAUACUGUAUAGGUAGCAGUGAACAUAGCUUUUAGGAGAACAUCUUAUUAACUAGGAUUAUGUAGGGGUUUUUUUUUUAAUGACAUGAGCAAAGCAGAUUUAAUACCAAUAAGAUUUCUGCGUCCACUUGGUUGAGCAAACAACACAGAACCGUGGAUCUAGCUUGUCCUUUCUGUGGACUCCCCAUGACACUCUGAAUAUAUCACUCAUCCUUUUAUGUCUUGGAUUCUCUUCCAGUAAAAGCAAAUAAUACUUCCUAUUUGUCAAUAUCCCCUGGAGUGCCCUUGAGAUGUUUAGGACUGGGAUCCAAAUCCUAAGGAUAUUUGUAACCCUAAUAGAUGCUGACAGGGUGGCUUCCUGGCUCACAGCACCCUCAAAUCAGCCCCCCCCUUUUUUUUGUCUUUUUGCCUUUUCUAGGGCCACUUCCCAUAGCAUAUGGAGGUUCCCAGGCUAGGGGUCAAAUCUGAGCUGUAGCCACCGGCCCACACCACAGCCACAACAACGCGGGAUCUAAGCUGCGUCUGCGACCUACACCACAGCUCAGGGCAAUGCUGGAUCCUUAACCAACUGAGCGAGGCCAGGGAUUGAACCCUCAUCCUCAUGGUUCCUAGUCGGAUUCAUUAACCACUGCGCCACGACGGGAACUCCCAAAUCAGCCCCUUUGAUGCAGAAAGUUUGUGAUAGAAAAUGGUCCUAUCUGGACUGCAGGAGCCUAGUCCCUUUGCCCACAGCUGAUUAGUACAGGGAUAGUCCCUUCAUUCCAACUGGGCUAAUCAAAUUCUUCUCCCAGGACACCAAGUGGAAAGACAGAAAGGCACUCAAAGAUUGGAAAUUGUCAAUCUAGAGAGUCGUGAGAUACUUUUAAUUAAAGUUGUGAAAUAACAGAAGUUCCCAUGUGGCUCAGCCAGUUAAGGACCUUGCAUUGGCAGUGCUGUGGAUUGGGUCUCUGCUGUGGCCUGGGUCUCUGCUGUGGCCUGGAUUUGAUCUCUAGCCCGGAAACUUCUGCGUGCCUCAGGCACAGCCAUAGAUAAAUUAAACUGUGAAAUAAUAAAAUAGAUAACAAGGCAAUAUUCUCAGCCCCUCCCCUCACACAUUGGCGUGGCUCCCUCCCAGAGCCUAUAGUCAUCCCAGCUGGGGCCUGCUGUGCACGACAGGAACCCAUCCCUCAUCCUUUGGGGAUGCUCCAUUCUACAGCCUUCCAUCCCACAUAGGGUCAACGAGACACCGCCAAGACUCCUGCCUAUGCAGUAACCCAGGAGCCCCACGGCUGGGCCCUGGUUCCAGUAGGUGGCCUGGUGUGGUAGUUCCUCUUGCUGUCUGGCAUAGCCUCUCUUUUGUGGAAUUGUAGGAGAUAGGGCUGCCAGGAUGGCGCUGACAGACCGAUUUGGGAGCCCUACACACCCUAUUGGUCCCUGUCAGAGAGCAUUACUAGCGGUAAACUUAUAUAAAUAUAGUUUAUAUAAAUCAUAUAAAAGAAUAUAAUUUAUGUUAUAUAAAUAUAUAAAUAUCAUUUAUACAAAUGUCAUUAUUUAAAUAAAUACAUUUAUAUAUGUAAUAAUUCC
rnacentral:lncRNA from 1 species